rnacentral:rRNA from 1 species
UACGUAGGGUGCAAGCGUUAAUCGGAAUUACUGGGCGUAAAGCGUGCGCAGGCGGUUGUGCAAGACAGAUGUGAAAUCCCCGGGCUCAACCUGGGAACUGCAUUUGUGACUGCACGGCUGGAGUGCGGCAGAGGGGGAUGGAAUUCCGCGUGUAGCAGUGAAAUGCGUAGAUAUGCGGAGGAACACCGAUGGCGAAGGCAAUCCCCUGGGCCUGCACUGACGCUCAUGCACGAAAGCGUGGGAGCAACAGG